UGUGGGAUCGACACUCGAGCGACCUUCAACAAAAGGGUAGUUUUACCCGAAACUAACAUAGGUGGGUAGGUAGAGAAUACCUAGGAGCACAAGACAACUCUCUCUAAGUAACUCGACAAAAUAUCCCUGUAACUUCGAGAGGUGCCUCCUCAAAAAGGGGGUUGCAGUGACCAGGCCUGGGCAAGUGUUUACCAAAACCACAAGUACAAAAAACACAAGUCUCCGCAAAGUUGUAAGACCAUGUAUGGGGCUGACGCCUGCCUAGUGCCGAAAGGUCAAGGAAGUUGGUGAAUUGGUGACAAGGGAGCCGACAACCAAAGCCUCGGUGGACAGGGACCGUAACUAUAGCGGUCCUAAGGUAGUGAAAUUCCUUGUUGGGAAGUUUCGACUCGCAUGAAAGGUGUAACAAUCUCUAACUACAAGUUUUG
rfam:Gossypium raimondii chromosome 8, whole genome shotgun sequence.